rnacentral:SRP_RNA from 1 species
CGCGGUGGCGCGUGCCUGUAGUCCCAGCUACUCGGGAGGCUGAGGUGGGAGGAUCGCUUGAGCCCAGGAGUUCUGGGCUGUAGUGCGCUAUGCCGAUCGGGUGUCCGCACUAAGUUCGGCAUCAAUAUGGUGACCUCCCGGGAGCGGGGGACCACCAGGUUGCCUAAGGAGGGGUGAACCGGCCCAGGUCGGAAACGGAGCAGGUCAAAACUCCCGUGCUGAUCAGUAGAGGGGUGAACCGGCCCAGGUCGGAAACGGAGCAGGUCAAAACUCCCGUGCUGAUCAGUAGUGGGAUUGCGCCUGUGAAUAGCCACUGCACUCCAGCCUGGGCAACAUAGUGAGACCC